rnacentral:rRNA from 1 species
GAUGAACGCUGGCGGCGUGCCUAAUACAUGCAAGUCGAGCGAACAGACAAGGAGCUUGCUCCUUUGACGUUAGCGGCGGACGGGUGAGUGACACGUGGGUAACCUACCUAUAAGACUGGGAUAACUUCGGGAAACCGGAGCUAAUACCGGAUAAUAUUUCGAACCGCAUGGUUCGAUAGUGAAAGAUGGUUUUGCUAUCACUUAUAGAUGGACCCGCGCCGUAUUAGCUAGUUGGUAAGGUAACGGCUUACCAAGGCGACGAUACGUAGCCGACCUGAGAGGGUGAUCGGCCACACUGGAACUGAGACACGGUCCAGACUCCUACGGGAGGCAGCAGUAGGGAAUCUUCCGCAAUGGGCGAAAGCCUGACGGAGCAACGCCGCGUGAGUGAUGAAGGUCUUCGGAUCGUAAAACUCUGUUAUUAGGGAAGAACAUACGUGUAAGUAACUAUGCACGUCUUGACGGUACCUAAUCAGAAAGCCACGGCUAACUACGUGCCAGCAGCCGCGGUAAUACGUAGGUGGCAAGCGUUAUCCGGAAUUAUUGGGCGUAAAGCGCGCGUAGGCGGUUUUUUAAGUUUGAUGUGAAAGCCCACGGCUCAACCCGUGGAGGGUCAUUGGAAACUGGAAAACUUGAGUGCAGAAGAGGAAAGUGGAAUUCCAUGUGUAGCGGUGAAAUGCGCAGAGAUAUGGAGGAACACCAGUGGCGAAGGCGACUUUCUGGUCUGUAACUGACGCUGAUGUGCGAAAGCGUGGGGAUCAAACAGGAUUAGAUACCCUGGUAGUCCACGCCGUAAACGAUGAGUGCUAAGUGUUAGGGGGUUUCCGCCCCUUAGUGCUGCAGCUAACGCAUUAAGCACUCCGCCUGGGGAGUACGACCGCAAGGUUGAAACUCAAAGGAAUUGACGGGGACCCGCACAAGCGGUGGAGCAUGUGGUUUAAUUCGAAGCAACGCGAAGAACCUUACCAAAUCUUGACAUCCUUUGACAACUCUAGAGAUAGAGCCUUCCCCUUCGGGGGACAAAGUGACAGGUGGUGCAUGGUUGUCGUCAGCUCGUGUCGUGAGAUGUUGGGUUAAGUCCCGCAACGAGCGCAACCCUUAAGUUUAGUUGCCAUCAUUAAGUUGGGCACUCUAAGUUGACUGCCGGUGACAAACCGGAGGAAGGUGGGGAUGACGUCAAAUCAUCAUGCCCCUUAUGAUUUGGGCUACACACGUGCUACAAUGGACAAUACAAAGGGCAGCGAAAUCGCGAGGUCAAGCAAAUCCCAUAAAGUUGUUCUCAGUUCGGAUUGUAGUCUGCAACUCGACUACAUGAAGCUGGAAUCGCUAGUAAUCGUAGAUCAGCAUGCUACGGUGAAUACGUUCCCGGGUCU